UACUCAGACAAACAUCGAUUGCGCCCAGAGGACCAUCGACUCGGGGAAAGAUGACCUUCGGUCAGCCGAAACUUGGUGGUCUUCCAGUGUAAAGUAUCAACCUUGACCGAAUGUUGCAGACUGGGACGUUGCCAGGUUCAGGGCUAUAUACUGUAGCACUCCAAAGCUUGGGGCAGUUGCCUCCAAACACAGUGGGGAUGAGGGCGUCGCUGACCAGGCAUCAUUUAUUACCCAUCCCUAAUUGCCCAGAGGGCAGUUCAAAGUCAACUACAUUGCUGUGGGUCUGGAGUCACAUGUAGGCCAGAACAGAUAUGCCCUGGUACUGAGGCAAUACUCAGUAUUGAUCCAUGCUUCGUUUAUGCAGGGAGCUCAGAUCAAAAGAAGAAACAUGAAACAAUGGAACCAUGACUGACAGCCACACCACUCGGAAAAUCCAAUGCCUGGUCACAACUUGAAUACAAACAUUUUAACAAUCUGAGCCUGAAUCUCAGAUUGGUUAUGCAAAUUUUUUUGUGUGUCUAAAAUUCAGGACUGCUGUGAACCACAUGGACAAGCCUCAGUAAUUCUGGUGCCUUUGGGAUCUCUAUUUUGUCCCAACGGUGAGUGAGUGCAAUAGGCAUGUGCACAAAAUCAACUGCUACGAUAUUAAGCUCCCCAAAAGAGUCAUAGAGAUGUACAGCAUGGAAACAGACCCUUCGGUCCAACUCAUCCAUGCCAUCCACAUAUCCUAAAUUAAUAUAGUCCCAUUUGCCAGCAUUUGGCCCAUAUCCCUCUUAAAUCCUUCCUAUUCAUAUACCCAUCCAGAUGACUUUUAAAUGUUGUAAUUGUACCAGCCUCCACCACUUCCUCUGGCAGCUCAUUCCAGACAUGCACCACCCUCUAUGUGAAAAAGUUGUCCCUUAGCUCCCUUUUAAAUCUUUCCCAUCUCGCCUUAGACGUAUGCCCCUCUAGUUUUGGACUUCCCUACCCUGUGGAAAAGACCUUGACCACUCACCCUAACCAUAGCCCUCAUGAUUUUAUAAACCUUCAUCCCUCAGCCUCUGAUGCUCCAGGGAAAACAGCCCCAGCCUAUUAUGUCUCUCCGUGUACUAAAAGAGCUUUUUAAAUGUUUGAAUGUCUCUAUAUUUUCAGUGUUAAAUUUCCCAGUUCCCCAUUUCUCCUCUUUAUGCUACCCUCUCUACAACAUCAUCUGAAUGCGCAACGUUAUUUUCCACACAAAUGCUGAAAACAUCCAGCUCUCCUUUAACUCGCUCGACCUCUUCAACAUCUCUGAUUUGUUAUUUUACUUGAUCAGCAUGAAGUCGUGAUUGGGCAGCACUGAAUGUCUUUACAAAUUCUAAAUCACCAGCCAUAAUGCCAUCUCCUGCCCUCUGUGGAAGAUGUUCAAGCAGAACCAGUCUCUUUACAACUUUGGUUUUGUAUUUGAACCUGAGACAAGUUUCUACCUUUAUAUCCACUCCAGUAAGCAACACUACCUACUUGCACAUUUAACCCAUUACCUAACUCUGCCUUUACUCUAGCUUAUUUGUCACUGAAGCACUCAUUCAGGUCAUUAUUACCUCCGGACAUGACCAAUCCAACACGUUCUGAGUCAGUCCCACAUUUUCUACACUUCAAAAAUUUGAGGUCAUUCAAAAGAUCGCUGCAGAUGUAUCUUACAAAAAGUUCCUGACCUAUACUGACUCCCAUUCCAGCAAUUAUUUAAUUUUAAAAUUCUCAGGCUUUGUUUUCAAAUCUCUGCAUGGCCUUGCCUUUUCCUAUUUCUGUAACCUCUCGAUUUCUACAACUCUCCAAAAUCCAAGUUCCCUACAAUUUUUGCGCAUUAGGUGACUAGGUGGUCUUAAACUUAAGUAUUAUUGAAGCUGCACUCAUCCAGGCUAAUACAUUUCUCAAACAUGCCUGAUAGACAGGCUGUGGGGACUGAGGAGGUGAGUUAUUUCCGAAGAAGGGUCUAGACCCAAAACGUCAGCUUUCCUACUCCUCUGAUGCUGCUUGGCCUGCUGUGUUCAUCCAGCUCUACAUCUUGUUAUCUCAGAUUCUCCAGCGUCGGCAGUUCCUACUAUCUCUAUACAAUCCCUGGCUUCUUUCCACAUCAAAAUCGCUCCACCACUGUUCCUGCCUUCAAUUGCCUAGGCUUUAAAUGUUGGAAUUCUGUCCCCAAACAUCUUCACCCCCCCCCCCCACUACCUCUCUUUCCUCAUUUAAGAUAGUCCUUAAAACCUAGCCCUUUUACCAAACCUCUACUGAACAGCUGCAGUAUCUCAAGCAAAACUAUGUCAAAUUUCAUUUGGCAAUGCUUUUGUGAAUCGCCUUGUCAUGUUUUACUUCAUUAAAGGUGUUAAAUAAA